rfam:Ovis aries breed Texel chromosome 3, whole genome shotgun sequence.
UGGCUGAGAGGUUAAAGUGUCUGCCUGCAAUGCAGGAGACCUGGGUUCGAUCCCUG